AUGGUCGGUAGUUUAACGCUGACUAGUGAUAGUGACUGGGUUUCCUGGGGGCUUAAUCAAAGUGGCAAAUUUUUGACUAAAUCGGUGUACAGAUGGCUGGAGAGGUCUAUUAGUGGGUGCCAUUACAGAUGAAUUUGGAGAGCCAAGAUACCUCUCAAAAUCAAAAUCUUCCUUUGGCAAUUGUCGCAAGACGCUGUGCUUACUCGACAGGUAAUGCGCACUAGAAAAUGGCCUGGUAACCCUUGUUGUUCCUUCUGCAAUGAGGUUGAGAGUUCGUGA
rnacentral:rRNA from 1 species